rnacentral:misc_RNA from 1 species
AGUCUCGGCUUUUAACGUGCACACAGGAAGAAGAGAGGAAACAUUUUGCUGUCCAGGAUGUGUCACUUCAGAUAGCGCGAACAUGUCAUUCAUCUGUGAUUUACAAAGACUUACCUUUAAGAUCACCGUUUCUGAUCAAAAUUAUCAAAGAAAUCACGUAGAAGUUGAUGAAUUGCGAGGAAGACAGAGAAAGCAUGUUAAGAAAAAGAGAGCUACCGGUGACAACUCUUUCGUCAAAUGAAGGAAAUAAAGGCGUCAUAAAAAGACCCUGGAAUCCAACUAAUGGCAACCAAUCUUCUAGCACAUGCGCAGAAAAAGUACGACUGAGAGCUGAUUGUGUACGAAACAAACACAAUGAUUCAGAGGAGUCCUUGUCGGGAUUGACAGUUCACUAUCAACACUUAUUUUGACAAUUUGAAGACGUGAAUUGGAAAGACAUGCAGAGAAAUCGACGAAUCAUUAGACUGAAUUCAGUUGAAUUUGUCGGGAAUAGGAUGAUGCCACUUUUGAAUAUAAGCUGCUAUAAAACGGAUAUCGGUCUAAACACCUUCAAAAACAUAAAGGAGGAAAUGGCGCUAAAAGAAAUGAAUUUAUAAGAUAUAAAAGAAGUCGACAGAAAACACUAGUUUACAUGUAGAAAAAAAAAAAUAAAGAAUAAUAAAAU